rnacentral:rRNA from 1 species
UACGGAGGAUCCGAGCGUUAUCCGGAUUUAUUGGGUUUAAAGGGUGCGCAGGCGGGGGAUUAAGUCGGCGGUGAAAUUUUGCAGCUCAACUGUAAAAGUGCCAUCGAUACUGGUUUUCUUGAGUGUGGAUGAAGUAGGCGGAAUUUGUGGUGUAGCGGUGAAAUGCAUAGAUAUCACGAGGAACUCCGAUUGCGCAGGCAGCUUACUAAACUACUACUGACGCUCAGGCACGAAGGCGUGGGGAUCAAACAGGAUUAGAUACCCCU